GGGUUAGUAACAGUAAAACACUGAAGCAGGGCUGGAUGGAACUGGAACCAGUAAAGUGUGAGCUGUGCUUUAAGAAGCUGCAGUGCAGAGAAAGGGUCGGGAUCACGGGGGUCGCUGCAGUCAACAACGUGACAUAACAUGUGUUCCUCAUAAUCUCUGGCCCCGUUCCCUCUCUCCUCCGCCGUCUAAUUUUAAUUUCACCCAUGCAAGAAACGACUCCUCCACAUCCACAGCCUCGCCCCACUGUAAAAGAAAGACCCUUCCCAUUUUCUCCUAAUAAAUCUUUAAAAUAUCAUUAUUAGUAUUUGCUGCUUCAAAACAUUUAACUAUUUCGAGUUCCCAUUUUGCCAUCAUGUACAAGAAUAUUCUAAGUCAUUAUAUGCGAUUAUGUGGUGUACUGUGAGUAAAAAAUCUGUUGUGUGUCAUCAACUCAUCACCACGGGGCCACGCUACCAGAAGAAGAAGGAGAAGAAGAAGCAAGAAAGGAGGGCAUGAAUAUACGUUGGCCAG
rnacentral:misc_RNA from 1 species